rnacentral:ncRNA from 1 species
CUUCUAUCAGGGCAAACUGUCCGUGAGGACAGGGCGCAAAGCUACGGGGAUUCUACCAUUUACCUCAAAUAUCCCCUCUCCCCUUGCGGAAGAGGUUUAAGGUGAGGGGGACAGGGUGUAAGCCAGCCGGGCUGCCGAG